rnacentral:tRNA from 2 species
GCCCCUUUAGCUCAGUCGGUAGAGCAGCGGACUUUUAAUCCGUUGGUCCAGGGUUCGAGCCCCUGAGGGGGCA